rnacentral:rRNA from 1 species
GAUGAACGCUGGCGGCGUGCUUAACACAUGCAAGUCGAACGGGAAACAUUUUAUUGAAGCUUCGGCAGAUUUAGUUUGUUUCUAGUGGCGGACGGGUGAGUAACGCGUGGGUAACCUGCCUCACACUGGGGGAGUAACAGUCAGAAAUGACUGCUAAUACCGCAUAAGCGCACGAGACCGCAUGGUUUUGUGUGAAAACUACCGGUGGUGUGAGAUGGACCCGCGUAAGAUUAGCUAGUUGGUAAGGUAAAAGCUUACCAAGGCGACGAUCUUUAGCUGGUCUGAGAGGAUGAUCAGCCGACACUGGGACUGAGACACGGCCCAGACUCCUACGGGAGGCAGCAGUGGGGAAUAUUGGACAAUGGGCGAAAGCCUGAUCCAGCAAUGCCGCGUGAGUGAUGAAGGCCUUAGGGUUGUAAAGCUCCUUUACCAGGGAUGAUAAUGAC